rnacentral:rRNA from 2 species
GACGAACGCUGGCGGCGUGCCUAAUACAUGCAAGUCGAACGAACUCUGGUAUUGAUUGGUGCUUGCAUCAUGAUUUGCAUUUGAGUGAGUGGCGAACUGGUGAGUAACACGUGGGAAACCUGCCCAGAAGCGGGGGAUAACACCUGGAAACAGAUGUUAAUACCGCAUAACAACUUGGACCGCAUGGUCCGAGUUUGAAAGAUGGCUUCGGCUAUCACUUUUGGAUGGUCCCGCGGCGUAUUAGCUAGAUGGUGGGGUAACGGCUCACCAUGGCAAUGAUACGUAGCCGACCUGAGAGGGUAAUCGGCCACAUUGGGACUGAGACACGGCCCAAACUCCUACGGGAGGCAGCAGUAGGGAAUCUUCCACAAUGGACGAAAGUCUGAUGGAGCAACGCCGCGUGAGUGAAGAAGGGUUUCGGCUCGUAAAACUCUGUUGUUAAAGAAGAACAUAUCUGAGAGUAACUGUUCAGGUAUUGACGGUAUUUAACCAGAAAGCCACGGCUAACUACGUGCCAGCAGCCGCGGUAAUACGUAGGUGGCAAGCGUUGUCCGGAUUUAUUGGGCGUAAAGCGAGCGCAGGCGGUUUUUUAAGUCUGAUGUGAAAGCCUUCGGCUCAACCGAAGAAGUGCAUCGGAAACUGGGAAACUUGAGUGCAGAAGAGGACAGUGGAACUCCAUGUGUAGCGGUGAAAUGCGUAGAUAUAUGGAAGAACACCAGUGGCGAAGGCGGCUGUCUGGUCUGUAACUGACGCUGAGGCUCGAAAGUAUGGGUAGCAAACAGGAUUAGAUACCCUGGUAGUCCAUACCGUAAACGAUGAAUGCUAAGUGUUGGAGGGUUUCCGCCCUUCAGUGCUGCAGCUAACGCAUUAAGCAUUCCGCCUGGGGAGUACGGCCGCAAGGCUGAAACUCAAAGGAAUUGACGGGGGCCCGCACAAGCGGUGGAGCAUGUGGUUUAAUUCGAAGCUACGCGAAGAACCUUACCAGGUCUUGACAUACUAUGCAAAUCUAAGAGAUUAGACGUUCCCUUCGGGGACAUGGAUACAGGUGGUGCAUGGUUGUCGUCAGCUCGUGUCGUGAGAUGUUGGGUUAAGUCCCGCAACGAGCGCAACCCUUAUUAUCAGUUGCCAGCAUUAAGUUGGGCACUCUGGUGAGACUGCCGGUGACAAACCGGAGGAAGGUGGGGAUGACGUCAAAUCAUCAUGCCCCUUAUGACCUGGGCUACACACGUGCUACAAUGGAUGGUACAACGAGUUGCGAACUCGCGAGAGUAAGCUAAUCUCUCAAAGCCAUUCUCAGUUCGGAUUGUAGGCUGCAACUCGCCUACAUGAAGUCGGAAUCGCUAGUAAUCGCGGAUCAGCAUGCCGCGGUGAAUACGUUCCCGGGCCUUGUACACACCGCCCGUCACACCAUGAGAGUUUGUAACACCCAAAGUCGGUGGGGUAACCUUUUAGGAACCAGCCGCCUAAGGUGGGACAGAUGAUUAGGGUG